AGCUGGUUCUCCCCGAAAUAGCUUUAGGGCUAGCCUCAGGUGGUGAUUACAGGCGGUAGAGCACUGAUCAGGAGAGGGACCUACCCGGUUACCAAACCCAGUCAAACUCCGAAUGGCUGUAAUCAAACCUGGGAGUCAGACUACGACUUAUAAGGGCCGUGGUCAAGAGGGAAACAGCCCAGAUCAUCAGCUAAGGUCCCAAAUGCCGUGCUAAGUGGCGAAGGAUGUGGCGUUUCAUAAACAACCAGGAUGUUGGCUCAGAAGCAGCCACCAUUUAAAGAGUGCGUAAUAGCUCACUGGUCGAGAGACGCUGCGCCGAAGAUGUCCGGGGCUCAAGCACGGAACCGAAGCUAUGGCAGAUUGCUUGCAAUCUGGGUAGGGGAGCGUUCUUAUCACGGAGAAGCGGUACCGGAAGGAGCCGUGGAGAGGUAAGAAGUGAGAAUGCUGGUAUGAGUAUCGAAAAGGCUGGUGAGAAUCCAGCCCACCGAAAGCCCGAGGGUUCCUGAGCAACGAUCGUCGUCUCAGGGUAAGUCGGGACCUAAGCCGAGGCAAAGACGCAUAGGCGAUGGAGAACAGGUUGAAAUUCCUGUACCGGAGCAGUCCGUCUGAGCGAUGGAGUGACGCAGCAGGGCACACGAGCAUGCGGCUGGAAGAGCAUGUCCAAGCCCGUAGCCCGUAUGGCAGGGAAAUCCGCCAUGCAAAAGGGUGAGAGGUGACGGGGAGUUAAAGGAAACUUUGACGAACUCGUGAAUCCCACACUGCCAAGAAAAGCUUCUAGCGAGGACUGAUCCGCCCGUACCGUAAACCGACACAGGUAGGUGGGGAGAGAAUCCUAAGGUCGACGGGAAAAGCAUUGUUAAGGAACUCGGCAAAUUGCAUCCGUAACUUCGGAAGAAGGAUGGCCCUGAGUAGGCGAAAAGUCUUGCACUUGGAACCGGAAAGGGCCGCAGAGAAGAGGCCCAAGCAACUGUUUACCAAAAACACAGGUGCCUGCUAAAGCGAAAGCUGACGUAUAGGUGCUGACGCCUGCCCGGUGCUGGAAGGUUAAGGAGAGAGGUUAGCGCAAGCGAAGCUUUGAACUGAAGCCCCAGUGAACGGCGGCCGUAACUAUAACGGUCCUAAGGUAGCGAAAUUCCUUGUCGGGUAAGUUCCGACCCGCAUGAAAGGCGUAAUGAUUUGGGCACUGUCUCAACGAGGGACCCGGUGAAAUUGAAAUACCUGUGAAGAUGCAGGUUACCCGCGACUGGACAGAAAGACCCCAUGGAGCUUUACUGCAGCUUGAGACUGGAAUUCGGAAGUAGACGCACAGGAUAGGUGGGAGGCUUUGAAACAUACACUUAGGUGGAUGCGGAGCC
rnacentral:rRNA from 1 species